rnacentral:rRNA from 1 species
CCUACGGGAGGCAGCAGUAGGGAAUAUUGCUCAAUGGGGGAAACCCUGAAGCAGCAACGCCGCGUGGAGGAUGAAGGUUUUCGGAGUGUAAACCCCUUUUGUUAGAGAAGAUAAUGACGGUAUCUAACGAAUAAGCACCGGCUAACUCCGUGCCAGCAGCCGCGGUAAUACGCAGGGUGCAAGCGUUAUACGGAAUCACUGGGUGUAAAGAGAGCGUAGGCGGGAUGGCAAGUCAGAUGUGAAAGCCUAUGGCUCAACCAUAGAAAUGCAUUUGAAACUGUCAUUCUGGAGUUGGGGAGAGGUAGGUGGAAUUCGUGGUGUAGGGGUGAAAUCCGUAGAGAUCACGAGGAAUACUCAUUGCGAAGGCGGCCUGCUAGACCGUAACUGACGCUGAUGCGCGAAAGCGUGGGGAGCAAACAGGAUUAGAUACCCGAGUAGUC